rnacentral:rRNA from 1 species
GACGAACGCUGGCGGCGUGCUUAACACAUGCAAGUCGAACGAUGAAGCCUAGCUUGCUAGGUGGAUUAGUGGCGAACGGGUGAGUAAUACGUGAGUGACCUACCUUUGACUCUGGGAUAAGCCUGGUAAACUGGGUCUAAUACCGGAUACGACCAAUCUCCGCCUGGGGUGUUGGUGGAAAGCGUUAUGGAGUGGUUUUAGAUGGGCUCACGGCCUAUCAGCUUGUUGGUGAGGUAAUGGCUUACCAAGGCGACGACGGGUAGCCGGCCUGAGAGGGUGACCGGCCACACUGGGACUGAGAGACGGCCCAGACUCCUACGGGAGGCAGCAGUGGGGAAUAUUGCACAAUGGGCGCAAGCCUGAUGCAGCGACGCCGCGUGAGGGAUGACGGCCUUCGGGUGGUAAACCUCUGUUAGCAUAGAAGAAGCGAAAGUGACGGUAGGUGCAGAGAAAGCGCCGGCUAACUACGUG